rnacentral:rRNA from 1 species
CUGGCGGCAUGCUUUACACAUGCAAGUCGACCGGUACCAGGCCUUCGGGUGCUGACGAGUGGCGAACGGGUGAGUAAUGCAUCGGAACGUGCCCAGAGGUGGGGGAUAACGCAGCGAAAGCUGUGCUAAUACCGCAUGUGAUCUGAGGAUGAAAGCGGGGGACCAGGCAGCAAUGUUUGGCCUCGCGCCUUUGGAGCGGCCGAUGUCAGAUUAGGUAGUUGGUGGGGUAAAGGCCUACCAAGCCGACGAUCUGUAGCUGGUCUGAGAGGACGACCAGCCACAGUGGGACGGGGACGGGGCCAGGACUCCUGCGGGGGGAACAAGGGGGGAAUUUGGGACAAUGGGGGGAGGCCUGAUCCAGCAGGGCCGCGGGGGGGAAGAAGGCCUUGGGUUUGUAAAGCCGUUUUGCGGGAAAAAAAAAGGUUCGGCCUAAUACGGGGGGUGAAGGACGGUACGGAAAAAAAAAGCACCGGCUAACUACGGG